UACGUAGGGGGCAAGCGUUGUCCGGAUUUACUGGGCGUAAAGAGCGUGUAGGCGGCCACGCAGGUCCGUUGUGAAAACUGGGAGGCUCAACCUCCAGACGUCGACGGAAACCGUAUGGCUAGAGUCCGGAAGAGGAGAGUGGAAUUCCUGGUGUAGCGGUGAAAUGCGCAGAUACUCAGGAGGAACACCGAUGGCGAAGGCAGGUCUCUGGGCAUUAACUGACGCUGAGGAGCGAAAGCAUGGGGAGCGAACAGG
rnacentral:rRNA from 1 species